UCCAAGCAAGGUUUAGCCAACCAGAUAAUAGCGAGUCUUAGGAUGAUGUUGGUAAAGGUAUCUGACAAGUAUAGAUAGCAAGAAAACAGGGUUGAAUAGUGAUUGAACUUCGAAACGUUAACAUCAGUCGGUCGAUGUCCUAACUGAUGCGGAAGACGAUAUCAGAUAAUGCGAGAUGACUAGUAUUUAUGGCACUGCGAAGUCAGAGAA
rnacentral:ncRNA from 1 species